rnacentral:rRNA from 1 species
UACGCCCUACGGGGGGCAACAGUGAGGAAUAUUGGUCAAUGGACGGAAGUCUGAACCAGCCAUGCCGCGUGCAGGAUGACGGCUCUAUGAGUUGUAAACUGCUUUUGUAUUAGGGUAAACACCCCUACGUGUAGGGGCUUGAAAGUAUAAUACGAAUAAGGAUCGGCUAACUCCGUGCCAGCAGCCGCGGUAAUACGGAGGAUCCAAGCGUUAUCCGGAUUUAUUGGGUUUAAAGGGUGCGUAGGCGGUUUGAUAAGUUAGAGGUGAAAUACCGGUGCUCAAAAACGGAACUGCCUCUAAUACUU